rnacentral:tmRNA from 1 species
UUUCUUGUAUUUUUGCGCGGAAACGCCUAUUUCAAGGGCGUCGGGGCAACCCGACUACGCCGGUAGAGUGUUAGGUGGAAUAGGCAUUUCGGACCCGGGGGGCAGUACCCCGGCGCCUCCACCACCAGCCGCGGUUCGCGCCGCUGCUGAUGGGGGCGAAAUAGGAUCGACGAGUGCAAUAAAGGUCUGGCUGCCGGUCGGUAUGAGUCCACCGCAAAGGCUCAUUCACACAAGUGCCAACGAUAACGAGGCUCUUGCUAUUGCUGCGUAACAACGUCCUCACGGACUGAGUUACAAAGACAAAAGCGCGGUUGGACCCCGCCGGGCAACAGAAGGGGAAUCCAGCGGUUUGGAGGGCGCCGGGCAACAGAAGCCCCUCCACU